UAAUGUAAGGUUUUUUUUUUUUAACCCUUUAAUCAGUAAGGUGCAUCUACAUUUCACGAUUCCGGGACAAAUACAGAUGUGCACACGCUCCUCAGCCUAUGCAGGGACUACUUUCUCAUGGACAUCCUUUCUAACUACACACUUUUCAUUUGUUACUUUAGCCUGACACCUAAAACAUGACUAGGACAGAAUGCGAGGUUGAUUUUCUGGGGACAGUCGCCACCCCCUUCCUUGCCCUCUCUCUCCUUUCUGUCUCUCCCUGGUUUCCCCUUCUGCGUCUUCCCACCUCUCCCGUUUUUGCGUCUUCGUGUUUCUCACGCCCUGUGUCAUGGCCUCCUCCGUCUUCUCCCGCUCUGUCACAGUCUCCCGCCGGGGGCUAGGGGUGCCCGGCCCGCAUCCCUGGGCGACCCUGAGUCCCCGCAGGCGGCCCCGAGGCCGGGGUGGCUUCCGCAUGGGGUCUCUGCCCGAGGCCUUUCUCUGCCAAGGAGGGAGUGUGGACCGCGUCUCCCAGUCGCUGUCCC
rnacentral:lncRNA from 1 species